UCGUUGUUCGUUGUGUAUGCUUGCGAUCGUCGAGUUGAGUGGAGUGUUUUCCGAAUCUAGGACCAACAAUUGGACUUAUCCUCUGAUAGUGAGGAUAUAGCAUGGUGUCGUCGUUGUGUUUGGGGGUUUCUUUGUUGAACUGACGCGGUAACAAUUUAGUGUGCGUGGAAGCUCACACGUGACCGGCUGAACUCCUCGUUGGUAGAACGAACUAACGUAAUGUGAUAGUGACUGAUGACGUUUCGCGGGAGAAUUCAGAGCUAGACAGCAGAGGGCCGAAAGAGAAAUGUUCGAGUGAGUGUUGCCAGCGAGGGAGGGGCCUGGAAAAGAACACAUUUUCGUUCGAACACAUUCUGACUGACGGUGAAGCAGUGCGUAGAAUUCUGUGCCGGGAGGGUGUUAAGUGGGCGGAAGGGGUUGAUUGUGAUUGUGACCCACGGUUUGCGGGUGGAUUGUGGAGGGAGGCUCGUUGGAAAAUUAUGGAUUUUUUCAACCGCAGCAAUUGUGUGUAAAAUGUAGUGUGAAACCGGUUGUACGGGUUCUGAAAAACUGUUCAUUCCUGUUAGUACCAACGAUCCUUUGUGAUUUUGCGUUGGAGAUAAAAUGUGAUAGUGAAAUAAAAUCGAGUUUUUAACAAGCUUUCAUGAAGUGAUUAUUUUGAUGAAAAUCAGUGAAACUUGUGGUAAGCUAAAUAAUUGAAUUGCGUUGAAGCCAAGAGUGAAAUUUCUUGCAGUAUCCAGAACCCAACGAAAACCUGCUGGAAAAUGACCGGAAACCUAAAUCAAUUCUUCGGCUAAACAUAAUAAAUCAAUACGUGUGGCAGAACCUGUCACCGGAGGCGAAUGGAAUGGCCACCCACAAGCUCGGAAUGAAACGAAAGUGAGAAAGUUUACACGAGUUAAACAACUGGCUCUGCUACACGGAGCUACUACCUCCCCCCAUUCCGGAAGCCAACAACAACAGGAGGUUCGGAGGCACCACCGGCAGCUAAAGAAGCAACGCCGUCAACCGUGCACACAGAUUGGCGCCAUCCCCAUACGGUCGCCAUUGGAAUGCUCGCGAAAAUGCACUUUUAUGGUGGUCCCCCCAGGACCGAAGGCGUCGGCGACGGUGACGGCGGAAUGUGAUUUCGAGAACGCAGGGGCAGUCGCUAAUGAGUUUCAUCCAUCAGGCGGCGACGGCAAAAACAUUCCAGAUUCAGCGACGUGAACAGUGAAGAGAACGGGAUAAUUUAUGCUCCGAGGCAGAGUCGCUUUGUUGAGUGUCACUAAGUGAGAUCGAUUGCUAAAUUCUGCCGAAGGAUUAUAAUGUCAGCCAUAAUUUAACCCACCCACACUCACGCCCGGGCGAAUGCGGAUCAAAUGCGUUAUCGGAAAGAAAAGUUGAUUUAUUGGAAUUGAGCGAAAGUUUGGCCGUCGAUCGUAAAGGCAAAUAUUACUCUACCUGGCGCCGCAUAAAUCGGUGAAAGUGAAGUGUUUGUGUUAGCUUUUGUGUCAAGUUUUUCGAAGAAAGAACCGUGUUCUGAGAGAGGAAAACUUUCCGCCCACCACCGGAUUCGUUCUUGUUGUGGCGGCCGCUUAAACUGAUCGCUUAUCAGACAAAACUGAAGUGGGAAGCAUUGAUCGAAUUUUAGUGGUGCUUUUCGGUAUCGUAUGGUGAAUGGAAUAAGAUAAGACCGAACGAACAACUAUCGAGAGAUCAUGCCUCCAAUGCGUGGCCUUCGAGCAACAACCAGAAGCAAUACCAGAAGUGAUAGCAACGUCUCCCGCAUCCAUCGCUUCCAGAAUGUUAAUCAGGCUGGCAGGAGAAGAUGCUGUUGCUACCCCGGUUCCGCCGCCUUCGUUGUCCCAGUCCCAGCAGACAACGGCGCUCAUACCACGGAGACGUGAGCUCAUCGUUCGCAGUUUCGAGGUGUGACCUAGUGGCUUCGAUAGCAGUACAAGUAGCAAUAGUAGUGAUAAUAGCAGUCACGGUAGUAGAUGUAGAUGGCUUGGUGCGAGCGCUGCGAUGUGUGUUCCGGUGAUGUUCACCACGGCACCCGCAAGUAGCAGAACCAUCAAAUGAAUUAAUCAUAGAACAGCAGUCAGCAAACGAAGCGAAAUCCAUUUCCCUCGGAACGCCAAGUACAAGAACCGAACGAAUCUCUGUCAUCGCCGUCGGUGGUGUGAAACAACUAAAAUCAGCCUAACCACCCAGGAUGAUUAAUCACCGGGGGGUGAGCUUUGGUUGAUGAAAAAUAACUUUGACUCCCCUGGUAAACUCGCCAAACGCUGAAGAUCCGGUUUUCAGGUCAAAGCAGGGCGGAGAAAGCGGACAAACUUUACGAUUAACUGUGUCUGACAAGCCAAAGCACGUAGGAAACAAGAAACGGAACCAUAAAAACCUAAUCAGAAAGGCUCUCCCAAGAGGGGCUCCCAAGCCAGAAGGACACGUACAGCAGCGACCAUUACGCUCAAGAAGAAAAUACACGAAAAACGACCAAACUGCACUCUGCCACGAUUUAACGAUAAACACGUCGUGUCCAAAACUCGAACAAAUCUUGGUGGAAUAGCCAUCAUCAUUCCUAAAGACUGUAUGUUGUUGUGGCGGAAUCACGACAGGACCCGUAGCAGCGGCGAACGUUCGAACGGAAAACAACAGAAAGAAAAAAACACACCACUCAAGUUGAACAAAGAAAAAGAAAAACAGGCCAACGGGAUAAAUUAAAACUGUUUGAAAAAUGAAUCUUAUGAACAUGGACUCGGAGAACCGGGUGGUUCUCAACGUGGGCGGCAUCCGGCACGAAACGUACAAGGCGACACUGAAGAAGAUCCCGGCUACUCGACUGUCCCGUCUGACGGAGGCCCUCGGGAACUAUGACCCGGUGCUAAACGAGUACUUCUUCGACCGACAUCCGGGGGUGUUUGCCCAGGUGCUCAACUACUAUAGGACCGGAAAAUUGCACUACCCGACCGAUGUCUGCGGUCCACUGUUCGAGGAGGAGCUGUCCUUUUGGGGUUUAGAUUCCAACCAAGUAGAGCCAUGCUGCUGGAUGACGUACACUCAGCACCGGAAUACGCAAGAAACGUUGGCUGUUUUAGAUAGGCUAGAUUUAGAUACGGAUAAACCUUCCGACGAAGAGACGGCGAAAAAGUUCGGUUUCGAAGACGCUUACAAUAAAGGCAAGGUGAGCUGGUGGCAGCACCUGAAACCGCAGAUCUGGUCACUAUUCGACGAGCCGUACAGUUCCAAUGCCGCCAAGAUAAUCGGCAUCAUAUCAGUUUUUUUCAUCUGCGUAUCGAUCAUAUCAUUCUGCCUGAAGACGCAUCCGGACAUGCGAGUGCCGUACAUUCGCAAUAUCACGGUGAAGACGGCCAGCCAGAAUACCUCCUGGGUGCUGGAAAAGACGCAAACGAACGCUCACGUCGCGUUUUUCUACAUCGAAUGUGUCUGCAAUGCGUGGUUCACCUUCGAAAUUAUGGUACGCUUCAUCUCGUCGCCGAGCAAACUUAGGUUUAUAAUGUCAUCUGUAAAUAUCAUCGACUACAUCGCAACGCUGAGUUUCUUCAUCGAUUUGAUACUGCAGCGGUUCGCAUCCCACCUGGAGAACGCCGACAUCCUGGAGUUCUUCUCCAUCAUCCGUAUCAUGCGAUUGUUCAAGCUGACGCGACACUCGUCCGGGCUGAAAAUUCUCAUUCAAACUUUUCGCGCAUCGGCCAAGGAGCUGACGCUACUGGUGUUUUUCCUAGUUCUAGGUAUCGUGAUAUUUGCCAGUCUCGUGUACUACGCCGAGCGGAUACAGAUCAAUCCGCACAACGACUUCAACAGCAUACCGCUGGGGUUGUGGUGGGCACUGGUAACGAUGACCACCGUCGGGUACGGUGACAUGACACCGAAAACCUACAUCGGCAUGUUCGUCGGCGCUCUGUGUGCCCUGGCCGGUGUGCUGACGAUCGCCCUCCCCGUUCCCGUCAUCGUGAGCAACUUUACGAUGUACUACUCGCACACGCAGGCCCGCGCCAAGCUGCCCAAACGGAGACGCCGGGUUUGUCCGGUCGAGCUGUCCAGACCUCCGAGAUUGCCAGGUGAGUUUAAAAGUCAAGGCGGUCCGGGAGCGUGCGUAAACACCGGAUCCGGCAAGCUUCCCUCUUCCAAUGCGCCCAGUACCGGAAGCAUGGAUCAAACCAUCAGACGCAUGAACGCCAACCGCACCAUUUCGAAGGACGUUAUCCUGCCAAAGAUGGCAUGAUGGGACGACAAGCUUUAGAUAUUCCGUUGCGAGCGUGACCAAAUGUUUGGUAUUGUUGCUGCUGCUGCUGCUGCCAGUGCUGUUCCUCUACUUUUACCGUUCAUGAUCCGUUCGAGCUUCAUCCCACCCUGGUUGCGUGAUAAGGGAAAAAAUGUGCUCGCUACCAAAAGAAUUGUUCCGAGCAACCCAAUCAAGUUGAAAUUCGCGAGAACAACACUCCCCGGCAAACAGGAGCAAAUGUGUUGUACCCUUCAAAAUUGAUCAAGUUACGUUCUCGUUAUAACUACUCACUCGGGACACUGCCCGUAUAUCCACGGUAUCAUCAUGUGGAAACGGGAUAGCUUCCAUCAGUGCAACGCGAUGGGAAAAUCAUCCAGUUGGCUUCUUAGUGGGCCGCGGCAGGCUUUUCCCUGUUGAACCCUUAACCAGUAUAUCGAAAAAAAGCAACAUACAACCCUCCUAAAAACUGCCAGCACAUAUUCGAACAAAACAACGAGGUACGCUACGCCAUUAUAUUUCACGCGGUUGAAGAUAAAAGACUACAUAAAAAGCAGAAAAGUAAGCUGCUGAAGGAUCCAUUCGGUGUCGUGAAGGCAGAUAUUUACGUGGAACAAUACCGAAAUUGGACCUAUCACGUAUGCAACCAACCUAUCCGCGUUACACGCCAUCCACCAGAGGCAGAAACCAAAGACCCCGUGGGAAAUGUUUGAGAGGACCUGAUCAGCGUGGUCCCACUGGAGGAUGGCUCAGCAGUUCCGGUGGUGACCGUAGAACCCUUACCUACCACCACCCUCACCAUUCCGGUCCUUCGUCGGUCAUCUCUGGGGAAACCCAAGGACCGGAAGCUGAAAAACAGUUAAAACAUGAUGACAGCACCGUCAACAAUAGCAACGGCAAGAUCAACAACAACAACAGCACUCAUAAAAACCAACAAAGGAAACUCACAUUCACAUUGAUAAAGCAGUAAACGAAGCAACCGAUAAAAAAAUAUUCCGACGAAUAGUCAAAGACACCCCCCUCCAGUGUUUGAGCGUGUUUGUUUCCGUGGAAACCGUGGGACUAAAUGCAUUUUGCCUUCGCCUUUUCUUUCGAUUGACUACCUGUGUUAGCUUUUCUAAUCAGAAACAAAAAAAACGACAGCUUAGAUAUUUUAGAACCAGUUUGUAAGGGAUUAUUACUAAUAAGGAUUAGGAAAACAAAACUUUGUUCUAUAAAGUUGAUUGUCUUAAGCUCGAUGAGGCAGCGUUAAGUUUUAGCACACACACACGAAACAAGGACUCCUGUUAAGUGUUCUCGAUGUUGACAAUUACGAGAGGUGAUGAUGUUUUGGUUUCAAACGUUUUCUUUCCUAUAUGACAGUUUAUACACAAUAACUACGCUUAUUACUAACUGAAAGAUGAACAGUUAUUAAAUCGACAGUGGAAUAUGAUCAGCAAACAAGUAAGACAUAAUUGUAAAUAAUCAACAAAAAAUACCAAAUUUGAAGUGUAAUACCAAAAAAAAAAAGGAAAACACAAUUGUAUAUUUUAGAAAGAGGCAAAACGAAAAGUGAUAUCAAGUUAUUUUAAACAAAAAUAAAAAUUUAAUCUCUAUAAUACUGAUUGCAUCAUCGAAACGGAUUGGUAUUAAAAUUGAAAAUUUCUGUUCCUUCCUCUGCUAAUGCUAUAUUCUUUCGAAAAAUGAUGGCUUCAGUGCUAGUGGUUAAAGGAAAAACUUUAUCGACGAAAUGUAAAUAAAGACACCUGUUAGUAAAACUCUACAA